UACGGAGGGUGCAAGCGUUAUCCGGAUUCACUGGGUUUAAAGGGUGCGUAGGUGGGUUUGUAAGUCAGUGGUGAAAUCUCCAAGCUUAACUUGGAAACUGCCGUUGAUACUAUAAAUCUUGAAUGUUGUGGAGGUGAGCGGAAUAUGUCAUGUAGCGGUGAAAUGCUUAGAUAUGACAUAGAACACCAAUGGCGAAGGCAGCUCACUGGACAAAGAUUGACACUGAGGCACGAAAGCGUGGGGAGCAAACAGG
rnacentral:rRNA from 1 species